ensembl:lncRNA
CUGACCUGUAUAGUUUUCUGUUCCCAAAAGUAGAAACCACUUUUUCAGACUUUCUCAGAGUAAAAUCUUUUUUUAGCAGUGCUAUGCGACUUCCUACGUUCACACAGUAGGAUAGGCGUUUUUUAACAUGCUUCAACGCGCCAAUAUUGACCAAUAGGAUCUCACUAGCUAAUGCUCUGCUCAGGCAAUCUUUCCUCUAGAGCUGGCUUUCCAGAGCUGGCGCCCCAGUGGAAAACGACACUAUGGAGAUAUACAGUAUAUCUAAUACACAAUGAUAUAAGAAUAAGUGAAAUAAUGAGCCACAAACUUAACAUACUUGAUACGAAGGACUGCGCCGCUGCGUACAAGCAUUUUCAAAAAGCGGAACCGGAAACAAUGUUUUCAAUACUACGUAUAAUUGAUCUCUGACGUUAUUGCCGUAGUAGGUAGCCAGUCAACACGAGUGAUUUUCUGUUUCAAUCGAAUAGUAUUGUAUAGUACAGCCAAAUCUCAGACACUAUGGCGACAUUGAGCAUUAAGUCUGACCAAGAAAUCAAAGAACUGUUGGACGAGUAUGGAAUUAAGCAUGGGCCUAUCGUUGACAGUACAAGACCCUUGUACGAAAAGAAGCUGAGAGAGGCAAUGGCUAAAGACAAGAAAGUGACAAAAUCAUCCACGGACAAAACCACAAAGCCUUCCACAGACAAAACCUUCUACAGAGAAGAGGAGGAAGAAGUCACCUAUGUCACCUAUCGGACACCUGUGAGGAGUGAGGGGCCUUCUGGAGAUGGGAAACCGUAUAUGAGGUCCAGACCCGACUACAGUGGGAGAGACUUCGUAGAUGAUGAAUCCUAUUCAAAAUCACAUCCAGAGUACAGCAGUGGAAGACACUAUGUUGAUGAACUGGGCCACAGGGCAGUAUUCCAACAAUGACCCCAAACACACCUCCAAGACGACCACUGCCUUGCUCAAGAUGCUGAGGGUAAAGUAAACCCUACUCAAAACCACGUCCUGAGUACAGCAGUGGGAGAGAUUAUGUUGCAGAGCCUCACAUCUACAAUACUCCGUCCAUGUCCUCGUACUCCUCUUACUCCAAACCCUCGUCUGUUGGGAGGCCUGCCGCCGUCGCUGGUGUGAAGCAGGGAUCCCCAGCCAGCUCCGGGAGACUGAUCCCCCUCUGGGUCCAGUUCCUGGUCUUCCUGGUUGUGGCUGGGUUCCUCUACUUCGUGUUCACCAACAUGGAGUCAGCAGAGACAAACCCUUUUAAUAGAAUCCAGUGAUCGAAAUCAAAUGUUGAAAUAGAUUUUCAGAUCUGUGCUAUAUUUGAUACAUGCCGAAAUGGGAGUGGGGGGGCGGCGAAUCGUGGAGGUACUGUUUGAACUUGGCCAAUAAGUUGCAGUCAUUUUUGUCUCCAGAAGGGCAAUGUGCAGAAGCAUUUUUCUGCAGUGUUCCCUAAGGAUUAUAAGCCAGUUUUAACACAUGGAUUUUACACAUUUAUUUGCCUCCAUGGAUGGGCGUCAUACUUUUAAACUCUUCGCUUGUGCUACUAUGUACACAUAUAUACACUUAUAUAAAGGUGCUGGGUGCUGGUAAUUUCUAUGACAUACUUCACUACUGUUGUAAAGGAAAGUAAUAGCAUCUCCUCGCGUUCCUAGUAACUAGAUGGUGUGAUGGUUUCAUAAAAUAUUUUCGCUGCGCUACAGGAAAAAGGUGGCUCCGCUGGGGUUUCUACUGUCUUGAUGAUCUUCUUGAAUGUCUAGCGUUCACUGCCCACGGUAAAAUGCAUGUACCGAAUGCUGUAUCCACGAUUCAAAACGGUCCGUUGAGUAUGAUUUGAUUGUGGAAAGGUCAAGGUUCAUUCCUGACACGCCGUGCAGUCCGGUUCCUGAUCGCCAAGCUGAGAACGACUAGACGCGGCGUUCCUGAGAACCGAGAACCCUGGCGCAUCUGUGGCAUUACCGAGUUCUCAGGGAAGUGCCUCAGCAUGUUGACCUGACAGUGACUCCAUCCACCCGUUUAUCAAAAUGCAAUCGCUGUUGUGGUGUAUUUGUCAUUUAAAUGGUUGUUGGGUUUAAUGUCCGUUCUGGUAUUUGUUUAGAUGUGUUCAUGCUACUCCAGUUGCAUGAAGUGGUGGUGAUAAGCGCCACCACUUCAUGCUCUGUGACUGCGCCUGGGGUAUCCUUUGAAAUGCCCCCUUUUUUUGUGUUUCCAGAAACCCGUCUGUUUUUGUCGGCGAUCACUUACAUUUUUAUAACUCAAUGUGGUGCACUUAUUUCCCUGUAGACGCUGGUUGAAACAAGUGCCCUUCAGAGGCAGUAGAAUGCCACCCGUUAGUACAAAUGAAAUGAAAAUGCUCUUGAGCUGGACAGUUUCUAUUCAGAGAUAUAUCUGACUGUCUACAAUUUUCUAUCCAGACAUUUUGAGUCAUUAUUUUUGAAUCUCCAACUAAAGGAAUUUUUAAUAAAUGUUUUUUUAAUCUAACAUUGUGUUAUUUCAUAAACAACUCCCAAUAUCAAAGAAUUUCUGUUUAAUUUGUAGUUUGUUCCCAACUAUACACAGUGACACCUGACAGCAAUAUUGAUGGUUAAACAAAAGUUAUUG